CCUUGGUUCGCAUACACGGAUGAAGAAUCGAGGUUUUUUUUUAGGGACGUUAGACCGAACAAUUUCAACAAAUUUCACCGGCGAUCGGCAUGGCAGACGACGGUAAUCAUCAUCCCCAGGGUAUCCCCCACAGUAUCAACUCAAACUUUGACGAUGAUUUUGAGAAGUCCGAUGAAAACUCGCCGUUGUUGUCAAGCGGUGUUCCGCGGGGAGCGAGUUGCAACGAUGUCGAGUACCGGGGCCCGCUGACGGGUUGCGGGGCAUGGAAGCUCUGUGACCCGCGGAGCGCCUGGCACCGUUACACCUUCAUACUGAUUCUAACUUGUCUACUCAGUUUCGGAAGCUACUACUGUUAUGACACCCCCUCUGCACUGGAGGAAGUCAUCAAAGACGAUAUGCAAAUUGAUACAUCAACCUAUGAACUGCUAUACUCCCUGUACUCAUGGCCAAACGUAGUGCUUUGUUUCUUUGGAGGAUUUCUGUUGGACAGAGUGUUUGGCAUCAGAAUUGGAACUCUCGUUUUUGGUGGUUUCGUCCUUACAGGACAGUUGAUCUUUGCACUUGGAGCUCUGUUCGACAGUUGGAUCUGCAUGGUCGCCGGACGAUUUGUUUUCGGGCUUGGUGGUGAGAAUCUAGCUGUUGCACAGAAUACGUAUGCAGUCACAUGGUUUAAAGAGAAAGAGUUGAACAUGGUGUUUGGGCUACAGCUCAGCUUUUCUAGAAUUGGCAGCACGUUGAACAUGAAUGUCAACAAGCCAAUUUAUGACUCGAUCAACAAUGACUUGUUACCAUACCAACGUCUGGGAUACACUCUUCUUGUUGGUGUUGCUAUGUGUGUGUUUUCUGUCAUUUGCGGGAUUGUUAUCGGUAUCCUGGACUUCCGUGCUGAGAAACUUUUGAACAGAAAUAAGGCCAGCACAGGAGAAGUUAUCCGGAUUCGUGACAUCAAGGAUUUCCCGGCCAAUCUCUGGCUGAUCUUUCUCAUCUGUGUUUUCUACUACAUCACAGUCUUUCCGUUCAUCACAAUUGGAGUAGUCUUCUUUUCGGAGAAGUACGAGCUGACUCCUGCCGCGGCGAACAUCGUCAACAGCCUGGUGUACUUCAUUUCUGCUGGCGCUUCUCCAAUCUUUGGCUUCAUUGUGGACAAGACAGGACGCAACAUCUUCUGGGUGAUCAUAGGAACAGUCAUCACCCUGGGGUGCCACCUAACUCUGGCGUUUACUUUCAUUACGCCCUUCGCUGUCAUGUCAGUGAUGGGACUAGCCUACUCCAUCCUGGCAUGUUCUCUCUGGCCACUGGUUGCUUUCAUCAUGCCAGAACACCAACUCGGCACUUCCUAUGGCUUUAUGCAGUCUAUUCAGAACCUUGGUUUGGCUGUGGUGUCCAUCAUUGUGGGCGUCAUAGUCGAUGGAAGCGGCUACCUGAUCUUAGAAGUCUUCAUGUGUGCCAUGCUGUGUGUGGCAAUCAUGUUCAGCGUACUGUUGUACCUCAUCGAUGCCUCCCGUGGAACCGGUCUGAACUUCUCCGCCAAGGAGCGCAGACUGAUCAAGGAGGCUAAAAAACGGGAGAAGGAAAUGCAAACCAGUUGUGAUUAGGAAUAACAAAGUAAGUCUAAGAAACAGUUAUAAAACUGUAGCAACUGGCGUUCUGUGUGCGCAUGCAUACGGGUGUGUUUGUUGCUCGCUGUGCAUGCUGUUCCCAUGCACAGCAGAGUUGGGUUCAAACAUUUCAUGAAAGGGUAGUUUAGAUAAGUGUGAUUAACUUUCAACUUAUUUUUGUAUUGAAAUUGAAGAAAACUUUUAUUGGAUUUUGGUUAAAUCAAUUUAUGACUCAAAGUCGAGCAGAAUUGGUUAGGUAUUAUAAAACAAAUAUUGACUGCUUUUUCUCGUGGCGUAGUAAAACUAGCCUCCCUCAGUGAUAUAUACUGUUCCAUGUCGCCCGGCUACGCAUCUGGAAGACACACUAGUCGGAGCAGUCAAGAUUUGUAUAGUAUAACUCAUUAUUUUGUAAAAUAUCUAGACAUAUCAGACGUUAUACGGGAGAAUUGGCUCCGUGGAUAACGGGCGAUACUCAGACUACCAGCUGGUGGGCUUGGGAGUAAAAAAAUAAUGUAAGUUAAAGAAGAAUAGAGAUAAGGCUGAUAUUAUUUGCCUUUGUAGAACUUAGCAAUUUAUAAUUACUGUUCUUUUCAAUGAAUAUUAAAGUUUUUGUAUAAUUAGCACAUUUAAGGCCACUUUAAAUAUAUACUGCAGUUGAUUAAAAUACCUAAAUUUAUAAAUUGAUGGUGUUGGGAAAUUAUACAGUUUAUUGGAAGCAUAAAGGGCUUCCUGCUGUUGUCUGAAAUGUCUGCCUAAAUGUUUGCCAUUGUGUAAUGAAGGAAAAUUGGGAAUUACUUAACUCUAAACUUUUAUUGGAGAAGCUUUCCUGAUCUGCCAAAAUGCAACCCUGUACAGAAACUCAGAAUGGAUUGUAAUUGGAAGUUGAAAGGUUUUGAAUUCCUUAAUCAACAGUGGCAGAGAUAUCAUUGUUUCCAUGUUUUUUUCCCCCCCAAAAUAUUGCACUUAAGAUUGCAUUUGUAGAUUUAAGGUAGUCAGGGUUUACUAAGUAACCCAUUAGCACAAAAGUAAGUUGUUUUACGUCGUAUUUCUUUCUAUUUUCUAGAUGAAUCCAUUAAACCAUAAAGUGCUAGGGUGGUUUAGGGCAGAACAGGGAGUAACAGGCAGGGUAAUUUAAAGGCUUAGUGGGAGUACAGGGAGUUAUGAGUUAAUUUCUGAAUUUGUCCAUGAACUAUUUUCUACUUCAAAGCCAACAGUGUUUUCAACAGGAUUUGGGUUCAGAAAUUUUAAAGGUCUGUAAUGAACUGAACUUUGCUAUUGGAAGUACAUGUAGAAGUAAAAUAUGUACUAUAGAUAUUGACCUGUUCAAUGAAACAUGGACUUAAAUCAAUCAAAAAUAUGUUGUUUAAAAAAGACGACCAGAAAAAUACAAUGUCCGAAACUACCUUGCAGUGGUUGAGUACUUUAAUCUCUAAAUAAGCCCAUAGUUGGAUUAAUUGUUUGUAAAAUUAAUUUUUGCCGUACAGUAAGCCUUUUCAUUGUAUUAUAAACAUUUUGUAUAUUAAAAUUAUGUUGUCUGUUGGAAACGUGCAGAACAAAGACAGCAAUAACAAAGUUCCUUCCAUUCAUGAA
rnacentral:misc_RNA from 1 species